rnacentral:rRNA from 1 species
UGGGGAAUCUUGCGCAAUGGGCGAAAGCCUGACGCAGCCAUGCCGCGUGGAUGAUGAAGGUCUUAGGAUUGUAAAAUCCUUUCACCGGGGACGAUAAUGACGGUACCCGGAGAAGAAGCCCCGGCUAACUUCGUGCCAGCAGCCGCGGUAAUACGAAGGGGGCUAGCGUUGCUCGGAAUUACUGGGCGUAAAGGGCGCGUAGGCGGACAGUUAAGUUGGGGGUGAAAGCCCGGGGCUCAACCUCGGAAUUGCCUUCAAUACUGGCUGUCUUGAGUACGGGAGAGGUGAGUGGAACUCCGAGUGUAGAGGUGAAAUUCGUAGAUAUUCGGAAGAACACCAGUGGUGAAGGCGACUCACUGGCCCGUUACUGACGCUGAGGCGCGAAAGCGUGGGGAGCAAACA